UCGGGAAUUUUGGGCAAUGGGCGAAAGCCUGACCCAGCAACGCCGCGUGAAGGAUGAAGUAUUUCGGUAUGUAAACUUCGUAAGAAUAGGAAGAAUAAAUGACGGUACUAUUUGUAAGGUCCGGCUAACUACGUGCCAGCAGCCGCGGUAAUACGUAGGGACCAAGCGUUGUUCGGAUUUACUGGGCGUAAAGGGCGCGUAGGCGGUGUGUCAAGUCAGUUGUGAAAUCUCCGAGCUUAACUCGGAACGGUCAACUGAUACUGUCACACUAGAGUACAGAAGGGGCAAUCGGAAUUCUUGGUGUAGCGGUGAAAUGCGUAGAUAUCAAGAGGAACACCUGAGGCGAAGACGGGUUGCUGGGCUGACACUGACGCUGAGGCGCGAAAGCCAGGGGAGCAAACGGGAUUAGAUACCCAGGUAGUCCCUGAGCGGGCUGGCAAGGCGCAU
rnacentral:rRNA from 1 species